AGUGAACGCUGGCGGUAGGCCUAACACAUGCAAGUCGAACGGCAGCACAGAGGAGCUUGCUCCUUGGGUGGCGAGUGGCGGACGGGUGAGGAAUACAUCGGAAUCUACUCUGUCGUGGGGGAUAACGUAGGGAAACUUACGCUAAUACCGCAUACGACCUACGGGUGAAAGCAGGGGAUCUUCGGACCUUGCGCGAUUGAAUGAGCCGAUGUCGGAUUAGCUAGUUGGCGGGGUAAAGGCCCACCAAGGCGACGAUCCGUAGCUGGUCUGAGAGGAAGAUCAGCCACACUGGAACUGAGACACGGUCCAGACUCCUACGGGAGGCAGCAGUGGGGAAUAUUGGACAAUGGGCGCAAGCCUGAUCCAGCCAUACCGCGUGGGUGAAGAAGGCCUUCGGGUUGUAACGCCCUUUUGUUGGGAAAGAAAAGCCCCGGGUUAAUACCCGGGGGUCAUGACGGUACCGUAAGAAUAAGCACCGGCUAACUACGUGCCAGCCGCCGCGGUAA
rnacentral:rRNA from 1 species